rnacentral:lncRNA from 1 species
AUGCAAGUCCAUGGCUUGCAUAGAAGCUGUGUGCUGAGAUGGCAGUCACCUGAGGGCAGCAGCCGACCCAGCGGGAUUUGGUUUUACUGGGAAUCCAUAUUCAAAAGCUUUGGCUUUUGUGCAUUGUGUCUAAGGGAAACGAAGCUAGUUCAGCAUUCGAGGCCCCAGGAAGGAUGUGGCCCUCCAGCGGGAUACCUGCUCCAGGAGAUGGAUUCAGACACGGCCCAUUCUUCCUGCGUGCGGCUAAGCAAGCCAGGGACAGAAGCUCUCGGGGCUCCUGGGGGCCUGUACCCCGGAUGGGCUCUUCAGAAGGAGUUCAGGGCCACUGUAGGACCCAGCACUGUCUUGAGCUCCCUGAUUCCAAGUGGAAAUGGUCCAGCAGAGGAGCCUCAGCUUUUCCAUCAUUGACAAAGGGAUUGGAGGAGAAGGUGACAAGAAGAAGAACGCACUGGAAGCUGAGAAUCAGGCUCUUGAAAGCCCCGAGGCCACCCCAGCCUCAGGCGGGUGAUGUCAACUGGAUCAUUCCUUCAUUCACUAUUCAAUGAAUGUUUAUUGAGGACCUACUAUGAGCCAAGCAUGUUCUACUUCUAGGUCUGAGAUAGACCUCGAACUUUCAGACCACCAGAUAAUACAUAAGUAGGAAAUGUAAUAAAUAAAUUAAAAAAUUCCA